rnacentral:snoRNA from 13 species
UGGCAUUGCUCCACCUUCUUGGGGUCGCGCUGUGUCCGCCUCCAGGAUAGGAGCGAAUGCUACAGAAACGGCAGGGGAGUCCAAAGGGCUGCGCUCCUCCCGUGGCUCAGCCUUAUUUCAGACCUGCGACAAAUUU